CACGUGACCGCGAAGUCGCGGACGCCGCUUUCUUCAUUCUUCACUCUCUUGCCAGCUUUCUCGAGGCGCGAUCCAACGGGAAAUAAGCGCGGUGAGUUGAAUGCCUGGUGAACAACGUUCUCUCUGUACGGUCUGUCCGUCUGCGAAACGAUUUUCUGUGACUUGGUGACUGUGACUCGAAAUUUGUUGCAGUUUGUUUGAGUGGUUUCAGUUCAGUGCCUUGGAUAAUUUUGGAUAUUCACGUAUUUUUGGGGCAGAAAGACAGAUUAACUGGCAGCUAGAGUUCUUGAAGAUCUGAUGAUCCCAAUCAAACAAAUCACCGCCAUUCAUUGAUAAUUAUCGAUGAGGUCCAAUACAGACCACUCAUAGUAUUGCAAGGUGAG